rnacentral:rRNA from 1 species
GACAGCACUGUUACCAACUUGUAGCCUGAUCUCAUCAGAGCUCAGAAACUGAACAAGUUUGGGUCUGGUCAGUACUUGCAUGGGAGACCUCCCAUCACAUAGAUUGCUGCCA